ACGGGUGAGUAAUGCCUAGGAAUCUGCCUGGUAGUGGGGGAUAACGUUCGGAAACGGACGCUAAUACCGCAUACGUCCUACGGGAGAAAGCAGGGGACCUUCGGGCCUUGCGCUAUCAGAUGAGCCUAGGUCGGAUUAGCUAGUUGGUGAGGUAAUGGCUCACCAAGGCGACGAUCCGUAACUGGUCUGAGAGGAUGAUCAGUCACACUGGAACUGAGACACGGUCCAGACUCCUACGGGAGGCAGCAGUGGGGAAUAUUGGACAAUGGGCGAAAGCCUGAUCCAGCCAUGCCGCGUGUGUGAAGAAGGUCUUCGGAUUGUAAAGCACUUUAAGUUGGGAGGAAGGGCAGUUACCUAAUACGUAAUUGUUUUGACGUUACCGACAGAAUAAGCACCGGCUAACUCUGUGCCAGCAGCCGCGGUAAUACAGAGGGUGCAAGCGUUAAUCGGAAUUACUGGGCGUAAAGCGCGCGUAGGUGGUUUGUUAAGUUGGAUGUGAAAUCCCCGGGCUCAACCUGGGAACUGCAUUCAAAACUGACUGACUAGAGUAUGGUAGAGGGUGGUGGAAUUUCCUGUGUAGCGGUG
rnacentral:rRNA from 1 species